GACGAACGCUGGCGGCGUGCCUAACACAUGCAAGUGGAGCGACGAACCAGGGCUUGCCCUGGAGCAAAGCCGCGAACGGGUGAGUAACACGUGGGUAACCUGCCCCGAUGAUUGGGACAACCCGAGGAAACUCGGGCUAAUACCGAAUGUGCCCUGCCGGCCCAAGCCGGCGUGGGGAAAGGAAGCCUCGGCCUCCGCAUCGGGAGGGGCCCGCGGCCCAUUAGCUAGUUGGUGAGGUAAAGGCUCACCAAGGCAACGAUGGGUAGCUGGUCUGAGAGGACGAUCAGCCACACUGGGACUGAGACACGGCCCAGACUCCUACGGGAGGCAGCAGUGGGGAAUCUUGCGCAAUGCGCGAAAGCGUGACGCAGCAACGCCGCGUGGGGGAAGAAGGCCUUCGGGUUGUAAACCCCUUUCAGGAGGGACGAAGGUGCGGCGGCGAAUAGCCGACCGCACUGACGGUACCUCCAGAAGAAGCCCCGGCUAACUACGUGCCAGCCGCCGCCGUAA
rnacentral:rRNA from 1 species